rnacentral:rRNA from 1 species
AGUGAACGCUGGCGGCAGGCCUAACGCAUGCAAGUCGAGCGGCAGCGCGUCCGACCACCCUCGGGUGGUCGGAUGGCGGCGAGCGGCGGACGGGUGAGGAAUGCAUCGGAAUCUGCCUCGUUGUGGGGGAUAACGUAGGGAAACUUACGCUAAUACCGCAUACGACCUACGGGUGAAAGUGGGGGACCUUCGGGCCUCACGCGAUGAGAUGAGCCGAUGCCGGAUUAGCUAGUUGGCGGGGUAAAGGCCCACCAAGGCGACGAUCCGUAGCUGGUCUGAGAGGAUGAUCAGCCACACUGGAACUGAGACACGGUCCAGACUCCUACGGGAGGCAGCAGUAGGGAAUAUUGGACAAUGGGGGCAACCCUGAUCCAGCCAUGCCGCGUGAGUGAAGAAGGCCCUCGGGUUGUAAAGCUCUUUUGUCCGGAAAGAAAGCAUCUGGUUAAUACCCGGGUGUUCUGACGGUACCGGAAGAAUAAGCACCGGCUAACUUCGUGCCAGC